rnacentral:tRNA from 2 species
GUGGAGAUGGGGUAGUUCAGCUAACCUAAGACCUUGUGGCGGUCUUGCCGUGGGUGCAAAUCCCACUCUCCGCC